rnacentral:rRNA from 1 species
GAGGUUGGCUUAGAAGCAGCCAUCCUUUAAAGAAAGCGUAAUAGCUCACUGAUCUAAAUAAGACGUCUUGCGCCGAAGAUGUAACGGGGCUAAAGCCAUAUACCGAAGUUGCGGAUUUACACGUUAAAGUGUAAGUGGUAGCGGAGCGUUCUGUAAGCCUGCGAAGGUGUACCGUAAGGUAUGCUGGAGGUAUCAGAAGUGAGAAUGCUGACAUGAGUAGCGAAAAGAAGAGUGAGAGACUCUUCCGCUGAAAGUCCAAGGUUUCCUGCGUAAAGCUAAUCUGCGCAGGGUUAGUCGGUCCCUAAGGCGAGGCAGAGAUGCGUAGUCGAUGGCAAUCAGGUUAAUAUUCCUGAACCGGCCCGGAAGUGACGGAUUGAGUAAAUUGUAAGUUCUUAUUGGAUUGAGCUUGCAGUGAAUCAGUCCCAGGAAAUAGCCCGGGCUAAGACCGUACCCGAAACCGACACAGGUGGACAGGUAGAGAAUACCAAAGCGCUUGAGAGAACUAUGUUGAAGGAACUAGGCAAAAUACUUGCGUAACUUCGGGAUAAGCAAGCCCCAUUUUAAGGCAACUUAGGGUGGGGGGCACAUACUAGGGGGUAGCGACUGUUUACUAAAAACACAGGGCUCUGCUAAAUUGAAAGAUGAAGUAUAGGGUCUGACGCCUGCCCGGUGCUGGAAGGUUAAGGAGAGAUGUGCAAGCAUUGAACUGAAGCCCCAGUAAACGGCGGCCGUAACUAUAACGGUCCUAAGGUAGCGAAAUUCCUUGUCGGGUAAGUUCCGACCUGCACGAAUGGCGUAACGACUUCCCCGCUGUCUCCAACAUAGGCUCAGCGAAAUUGAACUCUGAGUUAAGAUGCUCAGUACCCGCGGUUAGACGGAAAGACCCCGUGAACCUUUACUAUAGCUUUGCAGUGGUAUUAGGUAACAAAUGUGUAGAAUAGGUGGGAUGCUAUGAAGCUACGACGCCAGUUGUAGUGGAGCAGACUUUGAAAUACCACCCUUUUGUUGUUUGAUAUCUAACCUGCUCCCGUUAUCCGGGAGAGGGACCCUGCAUGGUGGGUAGUUUGACUGGGGCGGUCGCCUCCCAAAGAGUAACGGAGGCGCGCAAAGGUUGGCUCAGAUUGGUCAGAAAUCAAUCGUCGAGUGCAAUGGCAUAAGCCAGCCUGACUGCGAGAGAGACAUUUCGAGCAGAUACGAAAGUAGGUCAUAGUGAUCCGGUGGUCCCGAGUGGAAGGGCCAUCGCUCAACGGAUAAAAGGUACUCCGGGGAUAACAGGCUGAUUCCGCCCAAGAGUUCACAUCGACGGCGGA